rnacentral:rRNA from 1 species
UACGAAGGGACCUAGCGUAGUUCGGAAUUACUGGGCUUAAAGAGUUCGUAGGUGGUUGAAAAAGUUGGUGGUGAAAUCCCAGAGCUUAACUCUGGAACUGCCAUCAAAACUUUUCAGCUAGAGUAUGAUAGAGGAAAGCAGAAUUUCUAGUGUAGAGGUGAAAUUCGUAGAUAUUAGAAAGAAUACCGAUUGCGAAGGCAGCUUUCUGGAUCAUUACUGACACUGAGGAACGAAAGCAUGGGUAGCGAAGAGG